rnacentral:rRNA from 1 species
CAACACGGGAGUGGCAGACGGGUGAGUAACACGUGGGAACAUACCCUUCGGUUCGGAAUAACUUGGGGAAACUCGAGCUAAGACCGGAUACGGCAGCGAUGCGAAAGAUUUAUCGCCGAGGGAUUGGCCCGCGUCCGAUUAGCUAGUUGGUGUUGGUAACGGCUCACCAAGGCGACGAUCGGUAGCUGGUCUGAGAGGAUGGCCAGCCACAUUGGGACUGAGACACGGCCCAA